AACGAACGCUGGCGGCAGGCCUAACACAUGCAAGUCGAACGAGAAGCCACCUUCGGGUGGUGGACAGUGGCAGACGGGUGAGUAACGCGUGGGAACGUGCCUUUCGGUUCGGAAUAACCCAGGGAAACUUGGGCUAAUACCGGAUACGGCCUCCGGGGGAAAGAUUCAUCGCCGAAAGAUCGGCCCGCGUCGGAUUAGCGAGUUGGUGGGGUAAUGGCUCACCAAGGAGACGAGCCGUAGCGGGUCUGAGAGGAUGACCAGCCACACUGGGACUGAGACACGGCCCAGACGCCUACGGGAGGCAGCAGUGGGGAAUAUUGGACAAUGGGCGAAAGCCUGAUCCAGCCAUGCCGCGGGUGAAGAAGGCCUUAGGGUUGUAAACCCCUUUCAGCGGGGAAGAUAAUGACGGUACCCGCAGAAGAAGUCCCGGCUAACUCCGUGCCAGCCGCCGCAGUAA
rnacentral:rRNA from 1 species